rnacentral:rRNA from 1 species
GUGGGGAAUAUUGGACAAUGGGGGGAACCCUGAUCCAGCCAUGCCGCGUGUGUGAAGAAGGCCUUUUGGUUGUAAAGCACUUUAAGCGAGGAGGAGGCUACCGAGAUUAAUACUCUUGGAUAGUGGACGUUACUCGCAGAAUAAGCACCGGCUAACUCUGUGCCAGCAGCCGCGGUAAUACAGAGGGUGCAAGCGUUAAUCGGAUUUACUGGGCGUAAAGCGCGCGUAGGUGGCCAAUUAAGUCAAAUGUGAAAUCACCGAGCUUAACUUGGGAAUUGCAAUCGAUACUGGUUGGCUAGAGUAUGGGAGAGGAUGGUAGAAUUCCAGGUGUAGCGGUGAAAUGCGUAGAGAUCUGGAGGAAUACCGAUGGCGAAGGCAGCCAUCUGGCCUAAUACUGACACUGAGGUGCGAAAGCAUGGGGAGCAAACAGGAUUAGAAACCCUGGUAGUCC